UCAAUUUCAAUAGCAAAUGUUUGCAGAUCCAUUUCUCUUCCAUCUUUCUAGAACAUCAGCCUUUGUUUAAACAAAAAAUUUCAAUUCAUUCAUCCUUACCACAAAGACUUACUCAAACAUGAUUCUAAAUCUUAAUUUCUUCCAGCUCUCUUCUUUCAACAACCAUUAAUCAAUUUGCAACUCAAAACUUCAGGUGUAGGAACCGGCAGAAAAAUGGUGGGUUUUUUCUCACAUGGAGAUACCCGUGGAGUUUUACACCAGAUCGGUUUCUUUUUCUUCUAAUUUAAACUUGCAUCUUUAGUCUCUCAAAAAUUGACUAUUUUUGUUAGAUGUAUAUGUACAAACUAAAACUCAAAAACUAGUUCUUGAGAGUUGAGGUAAGGAUUUUCCAAGACCAUAUAAGGAGAUAACAGUCCAUACUCUGGUCCAAUGUGGGACAUCUAACAAAGUUCGAUGCUUCGACCUGUCACAAAGCACUCAGCCAUCACUUAUUCUGGUUAAUUGUUAUAUAUCUCUUGAUGCUUCUAUCUCAAUAUGUUAGGAUGCUUUAUUGGACCGGCAUCUUGCAACGGGUACAUUUGGUGACCAAGAAUGUGAAGAUAUUGGAAGACCAAAGAAAUCCUUAAUGGUGAGGAGGGAGCAAAUUUAUAAAAUACAGUUCCAUUUGUUCUCCUGUUUAACAACUAGUUAUUUGUUGA